UCUCCGUAGGUGAACCUGCGGAGGGAUCAUUACUGAGUGAGGGCCUCCCCGGCCCGACCUCCAACCCCUUUGUGAACACAACUUGUUGCUUCGGGGGCGACCCUGCCGUUUCGACGGCAAGCGCCUCCGGAGGCCUUCAAACACUGCAUCUUUGCGUCGGAGUUCAAGUAAAUUAAACAAAACUUUCAACAACGGAUCUCUUGGUUCUGGCAUCGAUGAAGAACGCAGC
rnacentral:misc_RNA from 1 species